rnacentral:rRNA from 1 species
CAUGCAGUCGAGCGGGGGAGGUAGCUUGCUACCGGACCUAGCGGCGGACGGGUGAGUAAUGCUUAGGAAUCUGCCUAUUAGUGGGGGACAACAUCUCGAAAGGGAUGCUAAUACCGCAUACGUCCUACGGGAGAAAGCAGGGGAUCUUCGGACCUUGCGCUAAUAGAUGAGCCUAAGUCGGAUUAGCUAGUUGGUGGGGUAAAGGCCUACCAAGGCGACGAUCUGUAGCGGGUCUGAGAGGAUGAUCCGCCACACUGGGACUGAGACACGGCCCAGACUCCUACGGGAGGCAGCAGUGGGGAAUAUUGGACAAUGGGGGGAACCCUGAUCCAGCCAUGCCGCGUGUGUGAAGAAGGCCUUAUGGUUGUAAAGCACUUUAAGCGAGGAGGAGGCUACUUUAGUUAAUACCUAGGGAUAGUGGACGUUACUCGCAGAAUAAGCACCGGCUAACUCUGUGCCAGCAGCCGCGGUAAUACAGAGGGUGCGAGCGUUAAUCGGAUUUACUGGGCGUAAAGCGUGCGUAGGCGGCUUAUUAAGUCGGAUGUGAAAUCCCCGAGCUUAACUUGGGAAUUGCAUUCGAUACUGGUGAGCUAGAGUAUGGGAGAGGAUGGUAGAAUUCCAGGUGUAGCGGUGAAAUGCGUAGAGAUCUGGAGGAAUACCGAUGGCGAAGGCAGCCAUCUGGCCUAAUACUGACGCUGAGGUACGAAAGCAUGGGGAGCAAACAGGAUUAGAUACCCUGGUAGUCCAUGCCGUAAACGAUGUCUACUAGCCGUUGGGGCCUUUGAGGCUUUAGUGGCGCAGCUAACGCGAUAAGUAGACCGCCUGGGGAGUACGGUCGCAAGACUAAAACUCAAAUGAAUUGACGGGGGCCCGCACAAGCGGUGGAGCAUGUGGUUUAAUUUCGAUGC